rnacentral:rRNA from 1 species
UAGGGAAUCUUCGGCAAUGGACGAAAGUCUGACCGAGCAACGCCGCGUGAGUGAAGAAGGUUUUCGGAUCGUAAAACUCUGUUGUUAGAGAAGAACAAGGACGUUAGUAACUGAACGUCCCCUGACGGUAUCUAACCAGAAAGCCACGGCUACCUACGUGCCAGCAGCCGCGGUAAUACGUUGGUGGCAAGCGUUGUCCGGAUUUAUUGGGCGUAAAGCGAGCGCAGGCGGUUUCUUAAGUCUGGUGUGAAAGCCCCCGGCUCAACCGGUGAGGGUCAUUGGAAACUGGGGGACUUGAGUGCAGAAGAGGAGAGUGGAAUUCCAUGGGUAGCGGUGAAAUGCGUAGAUAUAUGGAGGAACACCAGUGGCGAAUGCGGCUCUCUGGUCUGUAACUGACGCUGAGGCUCGAAAGCGUGGCGAGCAAACAGG